AUUGAACGCUGGCGGCAGGCUUAACACAUGCAAGUCGAGCGGGGUGAUGGUGCUUGCACUAUCACUUAGCGGCGGACGGGUGAGUAAUGCUUAAGAAUCUGCCUAUUAGUGGGGGACAACAUCUCGAAAGGGAUGCUAAUACCGCAUACGUCCUACGAGAGAAAGCAGGGGAUCACUUGUGACCUUGCGCUAAUAGAUGAGCCUAAGUCGGAUUAGCUAGUUGGUGGGGUAAAGGCCUACCAAGGCGACGAUCUGUAGCGGGUCUGAGAGGAUGGUCCGCCACACUGGGACUGAGAAACGGCCCAGACUCCGACGGGAGGCAGCAGUGGGGAAUAUUGGACAAUGGGGGGAACCCUGAUCCAGCCAUGCCGCGUGUGUGAAGAAGGCCUUAUGGUUGUAAAGCACUUUAAGCGAGGAGGAGGCCCUUUUGGUUAAUACCCAAGAUGAGUGGACGUUACUCGCAGAAUAAGCACCGGCUAACUCUGUGCCAGCCGCCGCCGUAA
rnacentral:rRNA from 1 species